rnacentral:rRNA from 1 species
AGCGUAUAUUAAAGUUGUUGCAGUUAAAACGUUCGUAGUUGAAUUUGUGUUCCACACGGGCAGUACACCUAAAUCUUGGGUUUGUACAUUGCCUUAAAAUUAAAAAUGUGUGUGAACGUAUUACCGGCUGAAUUUAUAUUUUUAAUAUGAAUUCACAUAUUAUAUGUCCUACUUCAGUGCUCUUAAUCGAGUGCUGUUGUGGGCCGGUACAAUUACUUUGAACAAAUUAGAGUGCUUAAAGCAGGCUUUUAAUGCCUGAAUAUUUGUGCAUGGAAUAAUGGAAGAGGACAUCUGUUCUAUUUUCUAUUGGUUUUUAGAUCAAGAUGUAAUGAUUAAUAGAAGCAGUUGGGGGCAUUAGUAUUACGACGCGAGAGGUGAAAUUCUUGGACCGUCGUAAGACUGACUAAAGCGAAAGCAUUUGCCAAAUAUGUUUUCAUUAAUCAAGAACGAAAGUUAGAGGUUCGAAGGCGAUCAGAUACCGCCCUAGUUCUAACCAUAAACGAUGUCAGCUAGCAAUUGAAUGUAGCUACUACUAUGGCUCUUUCAGACGCUUCUCGGGAAACCAAAGCUUUUGGGCUCCGGGGGAAGUAUGGUUGCAAAGCUGAAACUUAAAGGAAUUGACGGAAGGGCACCACCAGGAGUGGAGCCUGCGGCUUAAUUUGACUCAACACGGGAAAACUUACCAGGUCCGAACAUAAAUAAGUAAGACAGAUUGAUAGCUCUUUCUCGAAUCUAUGGGUGGUGGUGCAUGGCCGUUCUUAGUUCGUGGGGUGAUUUGUCUGGUUAAUUCCGAUAACGAACGAGACUCAAAUAUAUUAAAUAGAUGCAUUCAGGGUUAUGGUGUUGAAGCUUAUAUGCUCGCCUGUUUUCGUUCCUCACGGUGCGUUUGCAGUUGUGUAUGUAUGUAAGUGGAGCCAUACCUGUUUGUUUGUCUAAUUAAAAAUAGACACUAGCUUCUUAAAUGGACAAAUUG